UACGUAGGGUGACGAGCGUUGUCCGGAAUUAUUGGGUACGUAAGAGCUCGGUAGGCGGUCGUGUCAACUGUCUGCCGUGAAAACCCGAGGCUUAAACCUCGUGGACUUGUGGUGGAUACGGGCAAGACUAGAGGUAGGUAGGGGAGAAUGGAAUUCCCGGUGUAGCGGUGAAAUGCGCAGAUAUCGGGAGAACACCGGUGGCGAAGGCGGUUC
rnacentral:rRNA from 1 species